GAUGAACGCUGGCGGCGUGCCUAAUACAUGCAAGUCGAGCGAACGGACGAGAAGCUUUCUUCUCUGAUGUUAGCGGCGGACGGGUGAUUACCACGUGUUUAACCUACCUAUACGACUGGGAUAACUUCGCGAAACCGUAGCUAAUACCGGAUGAUAUUUUGAACCUCAUGGUUCAAAAGUGAAAGACGGUCUUGCUGUCACUUAUAGAUGGAUCCGCGCUGCGUUAGCUAGUUGGUAAGGUAACGGCUUACCAAGGCAACGAUGCAUAGCCGACCUGAGAGGGUGAUCGGCCACACUGGAACUGAGACACGGUACAGACUCCUACGGGAGGAAGCAGUAGGGAAUCUUCCGCAAUGGGCGAAAGCCUGACGGAGCAACGCCGCGUGAGUGAUGAAGGUCUUCGGAUCGUAAAGCUCUGUUAGUAGGGAAGAACAUAUGUGUAAGUAACUGUGCACAUCUUGACGGUACCUAAACAGAAAGCCACGGCUAACUACGUG
rnacentral:rRNA from 1 species